rnacentral:rRNA from 1 species
CAGCCGCCACGGUAAUACGUAGGUCCCGAGUGUUGUCCGGAUUUAUUGGGCGUAAAGGGAGCGCAGGCGGUUUAGUAAGUCUGAAGUUAAAGGCAUUGGCUCAACCAAUGUAUGCUUUGGAAACUGUUAGACUUGAGUGCAGAAGGGGAGAGUGGAAUUCCAUGUGUAGCGGUGAAAUGCGUAGAUAUAUGGAGGAACACCGGUGGCGAAAGCGGCCCUCUGGUCUGUCACUGACGCUGAGGCUCGAAAGCGUGGGUAGCGAACAGGAUUAGAGACCCCCGUAGUCCCUGUCUCUUAUACA